rnacentral:rRNA from 1 species
CAGUCGCCGCGGGAAUACAGAGGGUGCAAGCGUUAAUCGGAAUUACUGGGCGUAAAGCGCGCGUAGGUGGUUUGUUAAGUUGGAUGUGAAAUCCCCGGGCUCAACCUGGGAACUGCAUCCAAAACUGGCAAGCUAGAGUAUGGUAGAGGGUGGUGGAAUUUCCUGUGUAGCGGUGAAAUGCGUAGAUAUAGGAAGGAACACCAGUGGCGAAGGCGACCACCUGGACUGAUACUGACACUGAGGUGCGAAAGCGUGGUGAGCAAACAGGAUUAGAUACCCGUGUAGUCCCUGUCUCUUAUAC